rnacentral:ncRNA from 1 species
GAAAAUCUGAUGACGGGAGAAAGUAGUGUGUCUGGUCCCAUGACAGAGAGCCGGCGGGUGGUGUGAGCCGGUAUGAGCCGGCAGACGAAGGUCCUCCCCGAAGAGCGGUGCUGAAUCAGAUUAGGCGCCUACGGCUGUUCCCCGUUACAGGAAACGCGUAUGUUGGUACGUUGUAGAGAGCCCGGAUGCAGCAAUGCUCCGGGAAUCAGGGUGGUAUCGCGGAUUAUACUCCGUCCCUUGC